rnacentral:miRNA from 2 species
AAUUACAGAUUGUCUCAGAGA